AAUGAUUCGAGAUUAUCAUAUUCAAAUUAUGAUAUCUCGCUGUUAUAAAAAUUGCUAUUAGUUCUUACAUGCCUUCUUUAUAUCGAAAGAAACAGCAAUAUACAUAUUUAAGAGUAAAAAGUGGAUCAAGGUUACUCGUAUAUCGCAGCGCAGGAGCUUCCGUUUUGCGUGCAUGUACAUGCGUGACUAUUUAUUCUUCCGCAUUGCGUUUCGUAUUAAUGUAUAUAAAAUCUAAUAAAUCUUUAAUAUAAAAGAUUUUUACAAAAUUUUUAUGAAAAGGAAAAACUAUUAUUUCAACAUCUUUUAUGUAUCCUAAA